CCGGGCUCUGCUUUUGUGCGCCUUCUCAUGCAUUCUUGCUCAUCAGCAAAGGAAAACAGACCGAACCAAAAAUCGAUGAGGGAUUUUUAUUGUAAUAGCUGAAAAAAUGGGGCAUGUUACUGUUGUAACACUUGAAGAAGGAAUGAGAAGAUUGGAGGUGGGCAUAUCGAAGGCCAAAUUGAUUUUGGAUGGAUACCCACCUAAGGCCUUGUUCACAUCUGAAGAAUACAUGAAGUACUAUGAGUAUCCUUGAAGGAGUUAUGCUGAAUUUUGAGUUUAUUACUUCCUUUUUGUUAUUCUUUAUUGUUGGUUUGGAGCAGUUAUUGGACCCAUUUGUAAUUUGCAGUUAUUGAUGACGGUGCAUAGUGCCGCGUAGUUACUGUAUAUUUGCUGGGGCCUUGUAUUGUUGUUUUUCGUCUUGUUGACAAUUCUAUUAUUAA